UACGGAGGGUGCAAGCGUUAUCCGGAUUCACUGGGUUUAAAGGGUGCGUAGGAGGGCAGGUAAGUCAGUGGUGAAAUCUCCGGGCUUAACCCGGAAACUGCCAUUGAUACUAUCAGUCUUGAAUACCGUGGAGGUAAGCGGAAUAUGUCAUGUAGCGGUGAAAUGCUUAGAUAUGACAUAGAACACCAAUUGCGAAGGCAGCUUACUACCCGAAUAUUGACACUGAGGCACGAAAGCGUGGGGAUCAAACAGG
rnacentral:rRNA from 1 species